rnacentral:rRNA from 1 species
GCCCAGACUCCUACGGGAGGCAGCAGUAGGGAAUUUUGCGCAAUGGGCGAAAGCCUGACGCAGCAACGCCGCGUGAUCGAGACGCCCUUCGGGGUGUAAAGAUCUGUCAGUGGGGACGAAACUUGACGGUACCCACAGAGGAAGCACCGGCUAACUCCGUGCCAGCAGCCGCGGUAAUACGGGGGGUGCAAGCGUUGUCCGGAAUUACUGGGUGUAAAGGGAGCGUAGGCGGGAUUGCAAGUUGGAUGUGAAAACUGCGGGCUCACCCCGGAGCGUGCAUUCAAAACUGCGAUUCUUGAGUAAAGUAGAGACAAGCGGAAUUCCUAGUGUAGCGGUGAAAUGCGUAGAUAUUAAGAGGAAC